UACGCCCACCCUUUUCUGCAAGAAGUCUAGGCUUAUUAGGGAACUGGGCGUUUAAUCGCGAACGGCGAAUUUUCAUUCGAAUAUACGCCCACCCGCGGCCUCAAAUCGAGGUUUACACUUUGCUAUGCCAAUUCUUUAUGUAUUUUCAUUUUAACACAUAGUAUGAACAUUUUAUUGACAACAACAAUGUUAUAAACUAAUGCAUGAGUAUGAUUAAAGCAUGACAAGAGAAUGAACAUGAAAAAGUGGACUCUGACUCUAUUCGUUGCUUGUUGAUGUUAGAUGUAGCAGAAACUUCUCGAAGGAUGGUAGGUCAUACUCCUACAGAGCAGCUAUCAGGUACUUUGUUUCAGAAAACCAAGGCAAGGUAACCUGCAAAAUUAGCCUGUGUGAUAACUUUCUUGGACUUUGCGUUUUCCUUUCUCAGCAUAUAGGACUACUUGUUCCCUGUAUAUCAGGGGCAAACAGAUCCAUACAGUAUAAUGUCUGAUCUUGGUCCAGCAAGGAGUAUAGUCUUACUAGCUACUACCUAAAACUUCCUUUCUUCACUAAAAUUAAUAGUGAACAUGUGGCAUUCAGCUACUGCGCAUGCUCAACUUCUUAUUCUGGGUGGGCUUAUAAUCGAGUGAAAAUACCCUGUGUAAAAACUUCAAAGCAAAAGAGGGGAUGGGCGUUUAUUCAAGAUGGGCUUAUUUUCGCGAGGGUACGGUAUACACAUUAUUAAUGAACUAUGUAUACAAACGUUACUUUUUGACUUAAAAGAGUUACUGAUAACCACUGACAGUGUAAUAUGUAUCAAGAGCAGCCCAUCGUAACCAGAGUUACAAGAGCGUACAAGAAUUGUAUAGUCAUACGGUGUGGAGCUCGAUCUAAGAGAAACCACGGAUGUCCAAUUGGCUGAGGUCAUCUUUCACCAGACGUACAUCCAGCUCAGUUGCAGACUCGCCGACGUCACUCAGUCUCUGGGAUGCCUGUUCCGAUUCUCACCGAACACGAAUAAGACUGGUCAACAAGAAUUCUUUGUGAUGCGAGGAGAAGGAGGCGGAAUCACAGUGUCACAAUGUAACUCUCAACGUUCUGCAUACAGAUACGAUGGGCAUCAGCGUGUUUGAUAUCGAGAACAGUGACUCUGUGGGCAGCUUCAGGAUAGCUAGGUCACGAAGAUUGUGGGUAUGACCAACUUCACCAUGGCUACUGGUUGUGAAAUACCUGUACUUGUAGAUACUGUUGUGAUGACAACUCGGACCAAUAUGGUUGCUAUAGUGAUCCCUAUUGUGGUCAUUUUACUACUGUAGUUGCUGCUGUGUUGGUAACAGUGAUUUUGCUGAUUUAUUGUAAGAUGCAUCGCAAAAGCACAGAAUAACUGAAAGGCAAGUUAAGUCUUACGGCUGAGACUGACGGCAUCACGUACACAUGCACAGUGGAUAUCAACACGAUGGAUCUCACAAACAAAACGGUGAAGAUACCUACCAUCUCCCCAUCAGUCAGUGCUGAGCGUGACCUCAGUAGUAGUCCUCCCACAUCCACUCAACCCCCACCACACCUCCUGCUGACGCUACUGCUGGUGGCCCUCCGCACCCGUCCAACUACGUUCCCUUAGUUCCCUUAGUGACCUCGAAGACCAGCAGUCAAACGAAGCUUAACGGAAGGGUCCCCUGGUUCAGACAGCUAGCAGCCUCUACUGUCAGGAAGAACGGUCUCUAGAAGUGCCAUUCAGCUAAGGUUCCAGAAAGGCUCUUUUUGAAGCUAAAAGUCGACAAAAAAACAGCUUCUGGAAGAAAUACGAGGUCUAAAAAUCACACAAAUCGAUACAUUCACGAUUAACAGUCAUGACCCGUCAGCUAGUAAAGAAGACACAGCCCCUCUACUAAGGACGUAUUCUAAACUAUACUUUAUAGUGACGAUCUGCUCGAAGCUAUCAGCGAGGGUUCGUUGGAGGAUAUUCAUGAAGAAAGUGAGAAAGUCGGAUCAAGGAAUGCCUACCUUUCAUUGAAAAAAUGAAGGGGCUUGCUCAAAAACAAGGGUAAGAAGAGACUGAGUAUCAAAUUUGUAACAUUGGUUGUGAAGAUGCUUCCCUGGAUUCAGUCAUACUUCAGAACUUGUCGAAGGCCCUCCUAACAAGUAUAGUAUCACUGCUGACGAGCAAGCAUGCGAGGUUACUGAGGAAGCGUCAGAACUAGGAAACCUAGAACUACGAAAAACUUACAAAUGAUGGCCUGCAACCUUUCGAUUUUAUUCUAAUGGCCAACUGUACCUACCAUGCCUCAGUACUUGAUCCAAUGCUCACAGGUGCCACGCAGCUACUGCAUGAAGCCUGGCACAGGGGAGCUGGUUAUUAUUAGCUCCAGUCGACAGUCGCUUUACGAGCUGAUUACAAGAUUUUACUCGCACCAACGUACAUACGAGCUGUACACAGCGGAGACAGUAACAGCUACACUGGAGAAACUAGGCAUCAAGUACAAAGUGGAACAUGAGACCACUUCAAUUGAUCUGGCUCAACAAUUUUCUGAGGGAUUUUCAAGUGAAAAAGCUAGCCGCUAUGAUUUAGGAUCACUUUGUGUUUACAAAGCUAACAUAAUUCUCCUAAAGUUGCCAAGCUGUGUAUAGAGUUUCUAAGAUCUGUUUCUAUACUAGUAACAGAGUUGUUAUAUAUACAUCAGUGAGUGACAUGAUUCUAGUUCGUUGAAUUCGUAUAACUAUUGUUGUGUUAAUUCCAAAAUUAAUGAUGACUCAGAGUACCAACAUUUCA